AUUGAACGCUGGCGGCAGGCUUAACACAUGCAAGUCGAGCGGAGAUGAGGUGCUUGCACCUUAUCUUAGCGGCGGACGGGUGAGUAAUGCUUAGGAAUCUGCCUAUUAGUGGGGGACAACAUUCCGAAAGGAAUGCUAAUACCGCAUACGUCCUACGGGAGAAAGCAGGGGAUCUUCGGACCUUGCGCUAAUAGAUGAGCCUAAGUCGGAUUAGCUAGUUGGUGGGGUAAAGGCCUACCAAGGCGACGAUCUGUAGCGGGUCUGAGAGGAUGAUCCGCCACACGGGGACUGGGACACGGCCCAGACUCCUACGGGAGGCAGCAGUGGGGAAUAUUGGACAAUGGGGGGAACCCUGAUCCAGCCAUGCCGCGUGUGUGAAGAAGGCCUUAUGGUUGUAAAGCACUUUAAGCGAGGAGGAGGCUACUGAGACUAAUACUCUUGGAUAGUGGACGUUACUCGCAGAAUAAGCACCGGCUAACUCUGUGCCAGCCGCCGCGGUAAUAC
rnacentral:rRNA from 1 species